rnacentral:tRNA from 1 species
UCUAUAGUUCAGUCAGUAUAGCAUGAGACUCUUAAUCUCAGGGUUGUGUGUUUGAGCCCCAGAUUGAGCAAAA